GACGAACGCUGGCGGCGUGCCUAAUACAUGCCAGUCGAGCGGACGGAUGGGAGCUUGCUCCCAGACCGUCAGCGGCGGACGGGUGAGUAACACGUGGGCAACCUGCCUGUAAGGCUGGGAUAACUCCGGGAAACCGGGGCUAAUACCGGAUAACUCUUUCCCUCCCAUGAGGGAAAGCUGAAAGAUGGCAUCUCGCUAUCACUUACAGAUGGGCCCGCGGCGCAUUAGCUAGUUGGUGAGGUAACGGCUCACCAAGGCGACGAUGCGUAGCCGACCUGAGAGGGUGAUCGGCCACACUGGAACUGAGACACGGCCCAGACUCCUACGGGAGGCAGCAGUAGGGAAUCUUCCGCAAUGGACGAAAGUCUGACGGAGCAACGCCGCGUGAGUGAUGAAGGUUUUCGGAUCGUAAAACUCUGUUGUCAGGGAAGAACAAGUACCGGAGCAACUGCCGGUACCUUGACGGUACCUGACCAGAAAGCCGCGGCUAACUACGUG
rnacentral:rRNA from 1 species